UACGGGAGGCAGCAGUGGGGAAUAUUGCACAAUGGGCGCAAGCCUGAUGCAGCCAUGCCGCGUGUAUGAAGAAGGCCUUCGGGUUGUAAAGUACUUUCAGUCGUGAGGAAGGUGUUAAGGUUAAUAACCUUAGCAAUUGACGUUAGCGACAGAAGAAGCACCGGCUAACUCCGUGCCAGCAGCCGCGGUAAUACGGAGGGUGCGAGCGUUAAUCGGAAUUACUGGGCGUAAAGGGCACGCAGGCGGUUAAUUAAGUUGGAUGUGAAAUCCCCGGGCUUAACCUGGGAAUGGCAUUCAAGACUGGCUAGCUAGAGUCUUGUAGAGGGGGUGAAAUUCCAUGUGUAGCGGUGAAAUGCGUAGAGAUGUGGAGGAAUACCGGUGGCGAAAGGCGGCCCCUGGGACAAAGACUGACGCUCAUGUGCGAAAGCGUGGGGAGCAAACAGGAUUAGGAUACC
rnacentral:rRNA from 1 species